GGAUGGGGAUGGACGCCCCGGGAUGGGGAAGAUGCGGGAGGCACCGCGCGGAGUCCGCGAGCAUCCCCUGAGCAUCACCCCCACCCCGCCUUCGCUGGUCCCCUGCGAAGUUCUGCCCUGAGCGAAACUCAGGUUCUGCAUCUAGACAUUGUUUUGUUUGUGGUUGUUCUUUGGCUUGUGUAGGGUUGUUUUUUGUUGGUUUUUCUUGUUUUUUUGUUUUUUUUUUUCCAGCGGUUGGGUUCGAGGGAAAACACUUGGGAAUGCUUGUGUGGCACACGGGAAGGCGGCCGCGCUUUGCCCGCAAAAGAUAAACGCAAAGUGCAACGAAACGUGUUAAAUGCCACUAGCCUUGCCUGAAGGCAUCAAGAUAUUUCUUGGAGGAUUCCCCCCUCUCCGUGCGAGGCAACAGGAGGCGGAUUUGGGGUUUCUGUCCUCGUAUUUUCUCUUUUCUCCCUGCGUUCAGGGAGCAGGCUCUGCCGCGCCGGAGCCCCAGAGGAGCAGUGGGUGACCAGCCUGAAGCCUACAGACCUUGAACUGCCUGCAGCACAUUGGGACUGUGGAAGAAAGUCUUUGAAUGAGGCACAGAGUCACAUUCUGGUAUAUGAAUUGUUUCUGUACCUACAAAGCCAGCCCACACCAUCAGAGUGCUCUGCAACAUCCUGUCCUCAAUCUCUGCACAUGGAAAUAGCAGGAAAAUGGAUUCAUAGAAUCAUUAGGGUCAAAAACACUUCUAAGAUCACUGAGCCCAUCUAUUCACCCAGCACUGCCAAGCCCACCAUGAAACCACAUCCCCAAAUGCCACAUCUACAUAUCUGAAAUCCCUCCAGGGAUGGUGACUCCACCACUGCCCUGGGCAGCCUGUUUCACUGCUUGACAUCCCUUCAGCAACAAAACUAUUCCAAAAAUCCAAUCUAAACCUCUCCUGGCACAGCUUGAGGCCAUUUCCACUUGUCCCAUCACCUGGGAGAAGAGACCAACUCCCACCUGGCUGCAGCCUCCCUGCAGGGAGUUGCAGAGAACAGCAAAGUCCCCCUGAGUCUCCUGCUCUCCUGACUGAACAACCAGCAGUCACAGCCUGGGGCUUCUGUGCUAUCCAUUAGAAAAAGGCAAAAUGCUAAUUGUGGGUCAGGUGUUUAAAGCCAAAAUUACUUGGGGUUUUUGGCUUUUCCACAACAUAUUUCAUUGGUUUCUGAGGAGAGCUCCAAACUGAAAACUAACAGCAUCUCCAGCUGGGUGUGUAUUCUGUAGUCAAUCUAACCUCAAUUUGGAAUUGCCCUUCCUUGAAAAAAGUCUUAGGAACAAUUAAACAAAAAUACACGAAAUUAAGUGAAGAGCUUUUACCAAAAUUCCUUUGGCCAACAGCACUUUUUCUGUUGAGUGAAUGUCGAGCACAGCAGAAGAUGCUGAGAGACUCCUGCCUGUGGUCUCAGGAGCAGUAAGAGUCAACAUCUUCAGAGGCAGGAAUCACUCCUGUGAGUGAAGAGAGGCUGCUUGUACCCCUCUCUGUACCUCUGCCUUUCAGCCUGUUGUCACCCUGAUUUUAUAAGUUUUUCUCAGCCUUCUGAUGUUUACAUUCUUGUGGCAAACUUUCUCACACACUUUCUGUAAAUAACUUAUUGUUUUGCAUUCUUUAUGGAGAAGGAGAAAUUUGAUGGACUGUUGGUUUGUCCAGUGUCAUUGGAGAGGUGUGAGAGGUGUCAUUGUCACUUUUGGAAAACUAUUAAUGUUGGAGUCAGAAAAUAAACUUCCCUUUUUCUUUACCUUGAGAGCA
ensembl:lncRNA